GGCUUGUAUGCUCCAAGUGACUGUGUAGGCUGAGUUUACACUGUGUCUGUUCUGACAUAACAAAAUUACAUUGAAAAGGCAUUGGAGAGGCAAAACCGCUUUUAUACUUCAUCAAGAUGCCACCGUGUUACCUGAUAAUCAUGUAUCUCCUGGAUGAAGACGCCAAAGCUUAAAGAAUCCAGAGUCUCACCCAAGGAUCCUGCACACUGCCUAGACGAGGAGAAGUUCAUGGCUGGGACUAGCGUCAGCCCUCCUCCCUCACUUGGGGACACUUCAGCUUUUGUCCAAGCUCGCAUAACCGAAACCUCAGCUCCCCCAUCUCUCACAGAAAGACAUUUUUGAAGAGCCCUGAGGCAUCUCUUGUCCUCCUACAAAAGUUAUGAAAGAAGUCUCGACGGCCAGAGGCCAUAGGA
rnacentral:lncRNA from 1 species